AACAAGCUUUGAUCCGUGGAUCUCCGAAUGGGGAAACCCGACCACUUUUGUGGUCAUUGCAUACUGAAUACAUAGGUGUGCAAGACGAACCUGGUGAACUGAAAUAUCUAAGUAGCUAGAGGAAAGGAAAUCAAAAUGAGACUCCGCUAGUAGUGACGAGCGAACGCGGAAUAGGUCAGUGGUCUGCAGUUAGAAACUGGAAUGCUUUGGAAAGAGCAACCAUAGGAGGUGAUAGUCCUGUACAGGUAAGAAUGCUGCGGAUCCUUGAGUAGGGCGGGGCACGUGAAACCCUGUUUGAACAUGGGGGGACCAUCCUCCAAACCUAAGUACUCCUUAGCGACCGAUAGUGAACAAGUACCGUGAGGGAAAGGUGAAAAGAACCCCGGUUAGGGGAGUGAAAUAGAACCUGAAAUCGAGUGCUUACAAACAGUUGGAGCUUUAUAGUCCGAGGCGCAAGUCGCGGACUAUGGG
rnacentral:rRNA from 1 species